rnacentral:lncRNA from 1 species
AUCGCCCACCCAAUCCGUUUGGCGGCGGUAAUCGCCCACGCGAUUUCCCCACCGUCUCUCUCUCUCAUACCUUCUCUUCCUCUUCACCGGUCUUUGUACGACCCCACGAAGCGACGAGUCAAAGCCCUCUCCCUACUCUCUUUCCUCCCGGCUUCCUCUCUCUCUCUCUCUCUCUCUCUCUCUAUUGCUUCCAUCCUCGCGUCCA